rnacentral:rRNA from 1 species
GAUGAACGCUGCCGGCGUGCUUAACACAUGCAAGUCGAACGAAGCACUUAAACCUGAUUCUUCGGAUGAAGGUUUUUGUGACUGAGUGGCGGACGGGUGAGUAACGCGUGGGUAACCUGCCUCAUACAGGGGGAUAACAGUUAGAAAUGACUGCUAAUACCGCAUAAGACCACAGAGCCGCAUGGCUCAGUGGGAAAAACUCCGGUGGUAUGAGAUGGACCCGAGUCUGAUUAGGUAGUUGGUGGGGUAACGGCCUACCAAGCCAACGAACUGUAGCCGACCUGCGAGGGUGACCGGCCACAUUGGGACUGAGACACGGCCCAAACGCCUACGGGAGGCAGCAGUGGUGAAUAUUGCACAAUGGGGGAAACCCUGAUGCAGCGACGCCGCGUGAGCGAAGAAGUAUUUCGGUAUGUAAAGCUCUAUCAGCAGGGAAGAAAAUGACGGUACCUGACUAAGAAGCACCGGCUAAAUACGUGCCAGCAGCCGCCGUAACAC